CCUACGGGAGGCUGCAGUCGAGAAUCAUUCACAAUGGGGGAAACCCUGAUGGUGCGACGCCGCGUGGGGGAAUGAAGGUCUUCGGAUUGUAAACCCCUGUCAUGUGGGAGCAAAUUAAAAAGAUAGUACCACAAGAGGAAGAGACGGCUAACUCUGUGCCAGCAGCCGCGGUAAUACAGAGGUCUCAAGCGUUGUUCGGAAGCACUGGGCGUAAAUCGUGCGUAUGCUGUUUCGUAAGGCGUGUGUGAAAGGCGCGGGCUCAACCCGCGGACGGCACAUGAUACUGCGAGACUAGAGUAAUGGAGGGGGAACCGGAAUUCUCGGUGUAGCAGUGAAAUGCGUAGAUAUCGAGAGGAACACUCGUGGCGAAGGCGGGUUCCUGGACAUUAACUGACGCUGAGGCACGAAGGCCAGGGGAGCGAAAGGGAUUAGAUACCCCUGUAGUC
rnacentral:rRNA from 1 species